rnacentral:rRNA from 1 species
AUGAGCACACCAUAUCACCCGGCCACGGAUGGGCAAACUGAGCGUACAAACCAAUGCCUCGAGACUUUCCUCAGAUGUUUUGUGCAUUCUUGUCCAAAGAAAUGGAGUUCAUGGCUUCCUCUUGCUGAAUUCUGGUUUAACACCAGCUGGCACAGUGCUCUUGGGAAAUCCCCCUUCUUUGUCCUUUACGGCCACGAACCUCGACAUUGGGGUAUCGAAGCAGCCUCAGCCACUCCAGUUUCUGAUCUGAACACUUGGUUAUCAGAACGGGAAGAAAUGCAAGCUCUAAUUCGACAACACCUCCUCCGAGCUCAGACGAGAAUGAAACACCAAGCUGACAAGAACCGAUCUGAACGAAGCUUUGAAAUUGGGGAUUCUGUCUGCAUUAAACUCCAACCUUAUGUUCAGAGUUCUAUUGCUCGCCGAGCGUGUCAUAAGCUCUCGUUUCGCUACUUUGGGCCAUUUCUGGUGCAAGCUCGCAUUGGACAAGUGGCUUACCGUGUGGGUUUACCAGAUACUUCGAAGAUCCAUCCCGUCUUUCACGUCUCGCAGCUUCGCAAGGCUGUGAAACCAGGUGUGUCCGUUUCCUCUGUUCUUCCUCACAAUACUAAUCAGUUUGCGGUUCCUUUGGAAGUGCUUGACAGUCACCAAAAGACCAAGGCCAAUAGAGUGGUUGAACAAGUGCUCGUCCGUUGGUCUGGUGACACUCUAGAGCCGACGUGGGAGGAUCGUGACGAGCUCCAGUCACGUUUUCCGUGCGCCGUGGCUUGGGGACAAGCCGCAACUCAAGCAGGGGAGGGUGUUAGCAGGCUUGCCAGUACUACGCCAUCGUCCCAACCACCAGUCGAGGCCGACGAAGGAACGGCCCAAGGCCCAGCUAGGAGAGCCCGCAAGCCCAACAAACGAGUGGCUGGCGAGGAGUGGGUGAACAUGACCCAGGAAGCAUAA